GUACAACUUCGGUCGUACAUAUUCUAAAAUUGGAACGAUACAGAGAAGAUUAGCAUGGCCCCUGCGCAAGGAUGUCUUAACCCUCCAAGUGUCUUAAUUUAU